UACGUAGGGCGCAAGCGUUAUCCGGAAUUAUUGGGCGUAAAGAGCUCGUAGGCGGUCUGUCACGUCGACUGUGAAAACCCGGGGCUCAACCCCGGGCCUGCAGUCGAUACGGGCAGACUAGAGUUCGGUAGGGGAGACUGGAAUUCCUGGUGUAGCGGUGAAAUGCGCAGAUAUCAGGAGGAACACCGGUGGCGAAGGCGGGUCUCUGGGCCGAAACUGACGCUGAGGAGCGAAAGCGUGGGGAGCGAACAGG
rnacentral:rRNA from 1 species